CACCUGGCGGAGGGGCGCAGGCUGGCAGAGCACCUCGCCCGCAUGCUCAGCCCAGGUAAGGUGGCCCCAGGCCUCGUGACUCUGAGCUGCUCCCAGGUGCCAGCUCACAAGACACUCCACUCACCAUGUGGGUCUUUAACUGGCUGUCCUGGUUUGCACAUCACAUUUAUGGCCUUGACUGGAUCAGAGCUGGCCGAGCAGAGGACAGAAUGCUCAGGGUGGACGUCCCAGUGUUCCCACUCUGUCCUUCCUCCAGAUGCAUCGUGGCCUUUGGGUGAGGAGGCAGCCUCCAUCCCCUGUUAGAGUUUAUUUUUUAAAAUCCUAAUCUGUAUAUUCCAUAGAGAUCCCAUGCCUGAGUCUGGUUCUCAUGCAUCUAUUCAAAUUGUGUGGUUUGUCUUCUGACAUGUUAAUUUUCAAAUGAAAGUCAGACAUGAUGUUCUGCGUAGAAGGAAUUGAGGUAAACAGCUGUGUAGUGUGAGUUUGUCUGUCUGGCUGACCAGGGGUUAGUUUGUGUUUACUGUUUGCAGUAGCUGUAGGUGACAGAGUCUGUAAUUUCCUCCAAUGUUCUUCUUCUUGUCUCCUCUGUUGUCUUGGGUUUCCCUAGAGAGUGCUCCUUAAAUAAGGAGGGAAAUAUACAGUUAUUGUGGCUGCAUUUUUCUGUCAUUAUAUGGGAGCCCUAAAGAUGAGCUGGUGAGGCGUGGAAGAAGGGGUGGCAGUCCCUAGUCUCAUGGUCAGGUCUCAGUCUUCAGUGAGCCUGAGUCCCUGGACUGUGACCUUCACAAGUCAAGAUCUGCUUCCACUCUUCCUUCUUGGGGGAAAGAAGAAGCUUAGAGGCACCUGGGCUUGGAGAGUCUCCUUCCCACAGGCCUGGUCAGGUCUGGGAAAGCCCCAGGUGGUUAAGCUCUAGUCAAAUCCUUUGUUUGGAGAGUAGGAUUUGUGAGGAAGGCAGAAUGCUCUUGGUAUUGUUCAAGCAGCUACCAGCACCCCUCCCUUUUCCAGAUGCAUUAAUAGGUUCCUCUUUAAUCUUCACUAUGAGAAAAUGGUUGGGAUCUUUAUCAUCUCCCAUAAAGAUUUGGGCAUUUCUUUGAGUGCAACCUCCUUUUGUUUUAUUUCUCAUAUUUCUGCAGACUCGUUCUCCAGCAAUUAGUCAAUUAUGCCUUAGGUUUUCUUACCAUAGAAACGGUCCACCUUUAGAUGUAUGUGCUGGUGUUCGGCUCUAACGGUGGCCGUUGUGUGUGUUCACUUGUCCUCACCUCCAGUGUUUGCAGGAGCAGUCUACCCUCUUCACUCCACGCUCUGACAGAUGCAAGAACUGUUGGUGUUUCAUUUGUUGAGGUUUUUCCUUGUUGUGAGGACAGGAGUGAUGACUUCCAUUAUUCUGACAUGCUGGACAAAACACUGAGAUUCCUCCAGAUGUCUUCAGGAAAGAGAGAUAGUUAUUUUUUUAACUUUUUAGAGGACUUUCCCACCAUGCUUGAAAACAGUCUUUACAGAAGGAUGAAUGCUGCAGUUGUAGAAAUCCAGGCCAGCGUUAGAAGUAUAUUGUGAACUGUCAAACAGAAGAGAUUUUAAACAUUUAUUUUCAGUUUCCACAACUGAGAGCUGAUGGUAAUGCACCAGAUCAGGCAACCUGUAUCUGGUACAUAAGAAAAACAGGCCAAGCCAUUAAUUUAAAUAUGAAAUAUGAGACAUGUGCCUAAUUCCAUCAGUGAACCUGUAGUGUCCUGCACUGGUAUUUAUGUCCCCCUUCCCCAAUAGCCCACUGUGUGUGUAGGGCUGAUGUGGAGCUACUCAAUGUCUGACUGGACGUUUCUGAGUUUGUAUGCAGAAAACCAAGAUGAGGAGGAUGAGAAAGAAGAAGAAGCACCAGCCCCCAGGUAGCAAUGAAUAAGCAGGACCUGGGGGAGGGUGGGUAAAAUAUGGGCCAGCCCAAUUGCACUGGCCAAGAUGUGAAAAGUAACCACAGAUUUCACAGCAAAGGGACCUGAAACUGCUUGUUCUUUAAUGACAUUCAUGCAACCAGUGAAAAACUGCUUCCAUUAACAAGGUUGUUUACUGUCUUCAAGGUACUUCCCAGUAACUAAGGAAAACAAAUCAGUCUUAGGGAUUUCUACAAUCACAGAAUCUACCUGUUCUCUUUCCCAUGGCUGAACUCAGUACAAGAUGCUCAUCUGCUUUCUGCGUGGUUGGCCUUCGAUUUUUGGAAGUGAAUCUAUAGCAAGGGAUAUGAGCAGACUGAAAUAUUUCCAUGAUGUCACCGUAUGGCUAGAGGGAGUCCUAGAAGGUGCAAGAGCUCCUGAACCUACAGUGUCAGGAGCCUGUGCUCACUGUGCUGCUGCGGGAACAUUCCACACUGUCCACACAUGAGGCUCAGCCAGUGUGUGGCAAUCUGUGUGUGCUGCCUGCCAACACUGUGCCAAAGGGGACAGUUGUGUCCCCUUCCUCACCAUCUCUUUAUGUGGCCAGUGCACUGAGCACUUACUCCUCUCUCACUCCUGCCCUCGAGCCACCCACAUUCUUCCUUCAUCAUAAGAGGAUGGUUUUCUCUCUCUUCAAAAGGACAGCCCCUUGGCCCCUGUGACUAGUCCUUCAUGCCUCUAAUCAGCACCACCUAGAAUCUGGUGUCCAUCCCUCUUGGUUUGGUCCUAUUCUUUAUUCCACCAGGCUGAGAAGAGAGGUCCAGGAGAAGGAGAAUGGAGUCCUGUGGGACCCAUUAGAUGAAGGCCACCUGACUUCUCCUAGUUACCAUGACCUGUUUGAUACCAACCAGCCCUCAUGCACCAGUGCCAUCCUGUUUGAUGAGCAGGGAGACCUCUGUUUGCUGGAUGCAGCUAGUGAGUCCUCUAUUAUAAAGAGAAUGCACUCCAAAUUGUCCGAGAGGUAGACUCUGUGCCUGCUGGGCUCCAAUGGCAGGUUCAGAACAGGAAGACACACAACCUGAGGCCUCCUGGAAUAUUCUUCAUAGAAUACUGUUCUCACACCAACAGUACUUUCCUCCAUGUAUUACAUAGGCCCCUGAGGCCCCUGAGUUGAUCAUGAGGCAAGUACCUGUUGUGACUGCUCCUGUCUGACUGUAUUUGUAGCAACUCAAAGUGAUGAGAAAGAAGAGGAAGGACAAGAUCCCGUGGAGCCCAGGCUCAGCCGGGAGGAGGAGGAGACGAUCCCACCCCGCAGACCUCACCGUGGGAGCAGCGUCUCGCUCUCUCCAGCGGCCACGCCGCCCGAGUAGGGAGAAGCCCUCGCCUCCCGGACACAGCUGGCGAGUGUGUCUAAGUCCCAGUGUCCUCCCGGGUGGCCUCCGUAUUCUCUGUGCCCACACCUGUGUCCAGGGAGAGAGGUGCCGACAGGCCGUGGAGACGCACGCUGGCUUGGAUCAGGGUGGCAUUAGGCACUGACAUUAGGAGUGUCAAGGAGCCGGGCGCUUGCCCCAAUCCCAGGCCACACACGUCACCCUGGGACUCAACGACAAGGUCACGGUGGGCACCACACAGCUAAGCAGAGUGGGGAGACUGAGGAAACUGUAACCCACUCGCAGCCAUCGCUGAUGCAUGUGCACGGCAAGGUCUGCGCUACCCAAUCCUUCAUGUGGGGACGUGUGAUCUGUCCCGCAGGGUGCUGGUAAUUGCUAAAAAAAAAAAAAGCAUCAGUGACUGUCCGAGUGGGUUGGUGUCUUGCCUGUGUCUGUGGAGACGUUGCUACCGCAGUUCCUGUAUUCCAGUCACAAUCCCUCUGUCCCCUCCAACUCCACUGACGCCUGCCAAGGGUGCGUCAGAGUACCAGAGCAGAUGCACCUGUCCCGGCCACCACGGCUGGAGUUGUCCUCGCUAUCCACAUGGGUGCUGACACCUCCCAGCUCUGUGAGCCGCGCAGGAUCCUGGGCUCUGAGGCACCAGAUCCUCCUUCCCACAGACAUCGGUGCUCACCGUCCUGUACAUUCCACCCCCGGUGUGGUCUCAGUGCACAAUCCCACCGGCGACAGCCCCCGUAUCUAUAAGGCGACAGCUGAAUGCAGCAUGAACACCACGUUGAAGGCAGCUACGCACGUUCCCCGAGUCUCUGGCAAAGACGACACAUUUCACUGUUGCACCAACUGGGGCAGAGGGCAUGGGAGGGUGACGUAGCAGGUGACUCAGCAAAGCAGGCCCAGCCCCGUCCCUGGAGGCACAGGCGGAAGCCGCCAGCUGGGUUCCCUGAAGAAUGUGCUCGUCUUUUUUCCUCGAGAGAACAUUUACAUCCCCGGGAUCGCACAGGGCUUUGUGUGGCGUGUGAAGCAGGAACUGGAUGAUACGGCUGGCUUCUCUAAAUGUCAUUGCAGAAUGUUCAAAAUGAGAACACUGCCGAGGAGGAGGAUGGAACAGAGCCGAUGCCCUGCAGCAGGGAGCUGCGGGAGGAGGCCCCAGUGGACCAACUGGGGCAGAGUUCCCUGGAUGCUUGCUACUUGUCCCUUGCCAGCGGCCAAGACUUCUUUGAUACCCACUGGGCUCCAGACAGUCCUGCUUUCGAGACUGAUGACAUCUGGGCUGCUUGGGAGAUGGAGAAAAACCUGCACGAUUCUAAGGAUGAAGAAGGACAAGAGCCAGCGGUCCCCAGGAAGUACCGCGUCCUAAUUCAGGAUCAGGCGCGAGAGCUGACCCAGCUUCGCCGGAAGUUCCGGGAAGGGAGAGAUGCCUCCUCCUGCCUCACUCAGCACCUGGAGGACCCCCUCACACAGGAGGACAGUGACAACUCCCAGGAGGGCCUGGCGGAGGGGCGCAGGCUGGCAGAGCGUCUCACCCGUGCGAUCAGCCCCGGCAAGGAGGACACAGGCCCUGAUCACACACAGUCCCAGGCUCAGGAGAGACUCCAAACCUCCACGGGUGACACUGGUCACUCACUUGUCCUUUCACGUCACAUCUGGGGCCGUGACAAGCUCAGGACUGCCUGGCUGGGAAGAUGGGACAAGGGCACUGGCUGGAGGCCAGGGUGGAAGGACAGGAGGCAGCUUGUUAGAGUGGAAAGUUCUGGACGGAGAGUUUCCCAGGCGGUGUCCCCAGUGCCGCCCCUCACUCCACGGGAGCAAGUAUCUGGUUUCUCCUUCUUGGAGUUUUGCUUCUUCUUCUGUAAAACGGUGGCCAAGCCUUGCACGGUAGCCGUAGCGAUGCAAAGUGGGAACAUGUACAGCUGCAUUCCGACAGGAAAAUCCUGCAGAUGAGGAGGGUGAAGAAGAAAAAGAGCCACAAAUGAACGACCAGAGCAGAGCACUAUGAGGAUGAGGAAGAGGAAGAAGAUCUAGAAUCACUGGCCUCCAGACAGCGAGAUGUGCCCAAGGCAGAGGAGGAGGUGUCCUGCCUUCUUUAUGAAGGGGGAGCCACAUGCCAUCGGACCCCACCCUCCUGCUUCCCGUCAGACCCCGAGGGCUGCUCAGGGGUCUCGUCCCUCCUGCCUCCAUCUUUGGCUC